UAGGAGUCAUAGUUCCACUAAUCAGGAGGUCUAGAAGGAGUCAUAGUUCCACUAAUCAGGAGGUCUAGAAGGAGUCAUAGUUCCACUAAUCAGGAGGUCUAGAAGGAGUCAUAGUUCCACUGAUCAGGAGGUCUAGAAGGAGUCAUAGUUCCACUGAUCAGGAGGUCUAGAAGGAGUCAUAGUUCCACUAAUCAGGACGUCUAGAAGGAGUCAUAGUUCCAAUAAUCAGGAGGUCUAGAAGGAGUCAUAGUAGCACUAAUCAGGAGGUCUAGAAGGAGUCAUAGUUCCAAUAAUCAGGAGGUCUAGAAGGAGUCAUAGUUCCACUAAUCAGGACGUCUAGAAGGAGUCAUAGUUCCAAUAAUCAGGAGGUCUAGAAGGAGUCAUAGUAGCACUAAUCAGGAGGUCUAGAAGGAGUCAUAGUUCCAAUAAUCAGGAGGUCUAGAAGGAGUCAUAGUAGCACUAAUCAGGAGGUCUAGAAGGAGUCAUAGUUCCAAUAAUCAGGAGGUCUAGAAGGAGUCAUAGUUCCAAUAAUCAGGAGGUCUAGAAGGAGUCAUAGUAGCACUAAUCAGGAGGUCUAGAAGGAGUCAUA